GUUGCCAACCCGCGAGGGGGAGCUAAUCCCAGAAAACGCAUCGUAGUCCGGAUCGCAGUCUGCAACUCGACUGCGUGAAGCUGGAAUCGCUAGUAAUCGCGGAUCAGCAUGCCGCGGUGAAUACGUUCCCGGGUCUGUACACACCGCCCGUCACACCAUGGGAGUGGGUUUUGCCAGAAGUAGUUAGCCUAACCGCAAGGAGGGCGAUUACCACGGCAGGGUUCAUGACUGGGGUGAAGUCGUAACAAGGUAGCCGUAUCGGAAGGUGCGGCUGGAUCACCUCCUUUCU
rnacentral:rRNA from 1 species